GUGGGGAAUAUUGGACAAUGGAUGCAAGUCUGACCCAGCCAUCCCGCGUGCCGGAAGAAGGCCCUCAGGGUUGUAAACGGCUUUUGACGGUGAAGAACCAACAGGAUGCGUCCUGUUUUGACGGUAGCCGUUGAAUAAGCACCGGCUAACUCCGUGCCAGCAGCCGCGGUAAUACGGAGGGUGCGAGCGUUGUCCGGAUUUAUUGGGUUUAAAGGGUGCGUAGGCUGGAAGGUCAGUCAGCGGUGAAAAGCUAUCGCUUAACGAUAGUCUUGCCGCAGAUACUUCCUUUCUUGGAUGAGGAGGAGGCCACUGGAACGGAUGGUGUAGCGGUGAAAUGCAUAGAUAUCAUCCAGAACACCGAUUGCGAAGGCAGGUGGCUGUACCUUAAUCGACGCUGAUGCACGAAAGCAUGGGGAGCAAACAGGAUUAGAAACCCUAGUAGUCC
rnacentral:rRNA from 1 species